GAUGAACGCUGGCGGCGUGCCUAAUACAUGCAAGUCGAGCGAACAGACGAGGAGCUUGCUCCUCUGACGUUAGGGGCGGACGGGUGUGUAACACGUGGAUACCCUACCUAUAAGACUGGUAUCACUUCGGGAAACCGGAGCAAACACCGGAUAAUAUAUUGAACCGCAUGGUUCAAUAGUGAAAGACGGUUUUGCUGUCACUUAUAGAUGGAUCCGCGCCGCAUUAGCUAGUUGGUAAGGUAACGGCUUACCAAGGCAACGAUGCGUAGCCGACGUGAUAGGGUGAUCGGCCACACGGGAAGUGAGCCACGGUCCAGACUCCUACGAGAGGCAGCAGUAGCGAAUCGUCCGCAGUGGGCGGAAGCCUGACGGAACAGCGCCACGUGAGUGAUGAAGGUCUUCGGAUCGUAAAACUCUGUUAUUAGGGAAAAACAAAUGUGUAAGUAACUAUGCACGGCGUGACGGUACCGAGUCAGAAAGCCACGGCUAACUACGUG
rnacentral:rRNA from 1 species